rnacentral:rRNA from 1 species
UACAGAGGUGGCAAGCGUUGUUCGGAAUUACUGGGCGUAAAGGGCGCGUAGGCGGCCUUCUAAGUCAGACGUGAAAUCCCCCGGCUUAACCUGGGAACUGCGUCUGAUACUGGAAGGCUUGAGUUUGGGAGAGGGAUGCAGAAUUCCAGGUGUAGCGGUGAAAUGCGUAGAUAUCUGGAGGAAUACCGGUGGCGAAGGCGGCAUCCUGGACCAACACUGACGCUGAGGCGCGAAAGCUAGGGGAGCAAACAGG